UCUCUCUCUCUCUCUCUCUCUCUCUCUCCCUUUCUUUUUUUUCCUCUCAUUCUCUCUUCCUUCAACAAUGAAUGGAGAGAAAAUCGUCCGUCAUCCCCUUUCUCCCUCAUCUCCGCUUCUCCCCUUCUCCGAUUCAAACCCUAAAUGUGUCGAUAUCGGAAUUUAAGGCGUGGGAUGCCGAGUUUGUUAAGAUCCAUGCUUUUGCUACAGAUAAUGUUGUUUCCGAAAAUGGUAAGUUUCUUACUUUCACAAGGUCUUAGAAUCUUUUUAACAGGGUUAUGGUACGCUUCUUAUUGUUAGUGUUGAAGAAGUUCUUGGUUGAUAUAUAAAUCUUCCAGAUAGUGAACAUGGAAGGUAAGUAAGAUUCGCAUGUUCAUGCUCUUACAGGGCUUUAUAGUUGAUAUAUUUUAUAUUUUAUCGUAAUGUUGGUGCUACGUUUGAUUUGUGAUAACUUUUGUUAUGGUGCAACUAUGAAGGAUGCAUAAUCAUGAGUUUAGUUGUUUGUUCACUUAGUCUUUGUUACACCAUAUGGUAAUGUUUUAAUUCAAAGUGAACAUUGAUUUACAAAUGUUGGGAAUAUUGGUUUGUAAUUACAAAAUUUGAUUGUUUAUGCAGCAUAUUCAAAAGCUUCUUCGUAGGUUGAAAGCCGAAACCGAUCAAAUAUGUCAAGCUUCUGGCGCGAUGAUUGCAGACACAAAACUCAAGGAGGUUUAAAAAGAAAUUAUUAUUUUUAGGUUUCAAUUGGAAGAUAUGAUGAAUCGACUAAGUUUUUCAGAUUAUGGUCUUGAGUAUGCUUAUGGAGCACACAAGUAUUCAUUAACGGGGGUAUUUGAAGAGUAACCUCAGAGAGGUGGAGGGUUUAGAUUUACAAAUACAAUUUUGAUUGGAAAAUAAAUAAGGGAGAUCGUGAAGUAGGGUGUGAUGGAAGAACUUGCAGCUGAGUGCAGAAGAAAUGCUUGCAAUCUCAUUACAGAAAGUUGUUGCCAUUGGUGUGACCGUGCUUGUGUUAAACUCACUACAUUCUAGGAUAAGAAACUAAUGCAUCAUGGUUUGUCCCCUCAGACCCCUGCUGUAGCCAUUGAGCGAGGGACCACACUUCAGUAGCGCUCGAACAACAUGGCAGUUUAUUCUUCAACUAAAUAUAUCAAAGUAUAUUGGUUUCAAUGUGUUUGCAGGUUAUUCCACUCUUGGAUCUCGAGCACCGACACUAAAGUAAAUACAAUCAUAAUUGUAAACACUGGUUUUAGUAUUUUGAAGUUCAAUGUCUAGCAAAUUUUCUUGGCUCCUUAAUUAACAAACAUGCUAAAGAAUUUUAAAGUUUAAAAGGAGUGGUGGUCUUAGUAGGUUAAAAAUAUAAACAUGCUUGAGAGGUUUUAUACUCCUGUUAAAAAUAUAAACAUGCUGGAGAGGCUUUAUACUCCUGUUCUAAGAUUACAUGUUUUAUUCUAGAUGGUCUUUAGCAUGAUGUUUUCCUUUAACAUGAAUUUGUUGACUCGUGUGUAUCAUUAGAUAGAUACUGAUAUGUGGUUCUGUCAAUUUUUAUAAAGCUGAUAUAUAGAGGCGUUGAGCCAAAGCCACCAAUCAUUGCACUUGCGGCUUUUUUGAUAUGAAUAGGUUUACGAAAUUCUUAAAAAAAUUGAGGGAAUCUGCAAAUAUGAUCACACAAUAUUUAUAACCUCAUGCCAGGUUCCUCCACCGGGAAAAGGUUCAUUGUACCUUAGGCCUCUGCUCUUAGGAAGUGGUCUGGUUUUUUGUUUGGCUCCCUGCAUCUGAAUACACAUUACUCAUAUACGCUUCCCUGGUUCACAACUAUUUCAAGGAAUAUGUUCCAUGUCAUGAGGGUGUUGUUUCAAAGUUAAGAUGGCAAAUGGAAUAGCAGCUAGCAUACCCUCAAAAUUAUGACAUCUCAAAGUAGCUUUAUCUGUGUUUACUUCAAUUGCAAGCAAGAUGAGAGACAAUAUAGAAUUUUGGAGAUGGAAGAAGCUAUUUUCAACUAUCAGUAUAGAAUUUUGGAGAUGGAAGAAGCUAUUUUC